GACUGCCCUCUCCCGGAAUCCUGAUGGAAAGGGGACGGGUUUCCGCAGGGAAUGAGGGCGUGGCCACGCAUGCUCUCCCAAGAGGCCGCCUCGUGUGUGCACUGCCUGGCUUUUCGAAGUAACACGUGGGCUUUGAGACUUAGGCCUCAUAUCUCAAAAGUACUGAAUGACCCGGUCAUUCAGUCCUUAGACCUUCUGUCUCUGUCGGGUUUCAGCCCCAGUCUUGAGUGCCAGAGGCAAAGAAAUAAAAAUAAAGCCCUUAUUCCUGGGAGAAAAGCCACCUGCAGGAGUCCUGCACUGGAGACCUCUGUUUUGUGACAUCCCCUGGGCGGACAGUCCAGUCUGGGUGGUGUUAUGGAUCUUGACACUGCUUGAAAGCUGUACUUUGUUGCUGACAUAAGGGAAGGGUAACUUUCUGGGUGGCACUUAGGCCUGUUUCCGGUCUCUGAGCGACCUUCGGUUCUGAGUCGUGAUCAGAUCUCCAUUUAAUGAGCUCGAGCCUCCAAAGGACUUAGAAAGCCAGCAGUAACUAAUGAUGAAGUGCAAUGUCUUCCUGUAAGACCUUCUGCCUGAACUUCAUUGAAGAAUAAUGGCAUCUUCCUCUUCCUUCAUCCCUUAACACAGGAGCCCAUCGAGUGUCCACAUGCACAGAGGAGUCACUUGUCCGCUGACAGCCAUGGCUUUGCAGUAAACGCCAAGGCAUAGAUGCUUCCAUCCCGUAAGCAAGAGCGAGACCUGGAAAUAGCCAGAGACCUAGGUGUGAAGUACAGGCUGUUCUGUUGGUAACAGAAAGGCAUCUCUGCAUCUCCUUCUUAAUUAAUGUCCCUUCUUGUUAUAGAAAUAAAUCUUAUGCUUGUGUGAAACUCAUACUGUAGAGGAGUCCUCCUGCCCUUACUCUGGCUUUAACUCCUUCCCACACAAAGUAACCUACUUCAUUUGCAGUCCAGGAGAGAUCCUUCAGUUUUGCUGCAUUUCUCAAUUAAGUACAGUAUGCAUCAGGCAGCAGAUUUUCUGUACCAAUGAAGUUACACUUUGCACAUUGUUCUAGAAAACACAUCACACAAUGAGAUGGUUAUCUCAUUUGUCACUUGUCUGUGUCUUUAAACAAUUUAAAGUAAAACGCUUGUGGUUCAUCUUUACCUCUUACAAAUAAUCGAAAAUAAAAUGCUACACAUGGUGUCAAAAGC